GAUGAAGAACGUAUCGAAAUGCGAUACGUAAUGUGAAUUGCAAAUUCAGUGAAUCAUCGAGUCUUUGAACGCACAUUGCGCCCCCUGGUAUUCCGGGGGGCAUGCCUGUCCGAGCGUCAUUGCUGCCCUCAAGCACGGCUUGUGUGUUGGGCCCCGUCCUCCGAUCCCGGGGGACGGGCCCGAAAGGCAGCGGCGGCACCGCGUCCGGUCCUCGAGCGUAUGGGGCUUUGUCACCCGCUCUGUAGGCCCGGCCGGCGCUUGCCGAUCAACCCAAAUUUUUAUCCAGGUUGAUCUCGGAUCAGGUAGGGAUACCCGCUGAACUUAAGCAUAUCAAUAAGCGGAGGA
rnacentral:misc_RNA from 1 species